UGUGUCUCCUCCAAACUUCAAGCAUGGACGCUUAAUGCUCAAGGUGAUGGUGCUAAGAGUUUCCUUCUUUGAGGAUGAAACUCAGUAACAACAACAACAACAACAAAAACAACAACGGCCGGAGAUGUGGUUCAGCGGCACUGCACCUGCCUGGAAAGCGCAAGGUCCUGAGUUCGAUCUCCUGUACCAGAAAAACCACAACAACAAUAACAACUAUCAGGAAAAACUACACAGUCUUUUCAAGUUUGUGAUGAGAUCUCUAUUAUCCAGUUUCCUGCCUAGAAAUUUGAACUUCUGCCCACCCAGUACAGAAGGACCCUUUAAUAGCUCUGAUUAGGAUGAUUCUAAGUAUUUGAAGAAAUAUAUGGUAGGCAUUUUGGUUAUUGUUGCUAUGGCCUAUAACAAAAAUAACCUUUGUUAAGCCACAAAUGGAAUUAGAUCUGAAAUCAGGCCAUGAGAAAUAGCAACUAUAUAUUUUACUUCCUUUGACAGUUAAAUAGGUUGAAAGGUUGCAGUGCUAAUAGAACUGUAGAAUACAUGAUGAAAGCUGUAACAUUUGAGUUCAGCCCGAUGUUAACCCUGUCUGCUGAUUUUGAUCAUUUGUGACCAGCAGUAAAAUGUUAGUAUGCAAAUGUGGAAGUUUACAAAAUGAUAUUAUGUGUUAAUGUGGGUAAGUUAAAUGAUAAACUAUGCAAAUUUAGAACAACAUCCAACUACUCAUUUGUGUAUACAUGUGUAUAUCUGUAUGUACAAAUAUUCAUAUACAUAUGUAUAGAUACUGUCCAUAUCUGUGUGUUUAUAUGCAUUACACAUGUAUAAGCUUCUAAUACUGAGUAGCUUUUAAAAAUUUGCAGAUCUUGUUUUUAUUACUAUAGCUCACAGUUUAAAAGCUAAAAGGGACAUAGAUAUGUUGCAAUUAGGACGAUCUCCCAAAUCAUAGGCUUCUAAAUCUUUAAGUAAACCAGCA
rnacentral:lncRNA from 1 species